AGCGGCGAGCUCGCAGCGAGGCGGAAGCGGCGAGCUCGCAGCGAGGCGGCAGCUGGUGUCCAGCAGCAGCUGUGGCGUGAUUUUUUUUUGUUUUUUUCAAAGAGCAACACUGUCGGGUGGUGAACCGACGGUAUUAGCUGUACCCAUCACCAUCGAGUUAGAUCAAACGAUGCUCAAAACCGGCGGUGAUGUGUUUUUAGAACCGGCGGUGAAAGGGGUGAAUGGAGUAGUGGAAGUUGUUGGAGCUGGACUAAUCUCUCAUGCUGGUAGUCUUUCCAAUCUUGCCAAGUGCCCUGCCUCCACGCUUUAGAUACUUGGUGCUGAAAAGGCCCUUUUCAGAGCUCUGAAAACUCGUGGAAAUACACCAAAGUAUGGCCUUAUAUUCCACUCAUCAUUCAUUGGCCAUGCAUCACAAAAGAACAAGGGCCGGAUGGCUCGAUAUCUGGCAAACAAGUGUUCCAUCUCUUCACGCAUUGAUUGCUAUUCAGAGUUGAAUACAUCCAUUUUCGGACAGAAACUGCGCGAACAAGUUGAGGAGAGACUUGACUUCUAUGACAAGGGGGUCGCACCUCGUAAGAACCUUGAUGUGCUGAAAGCUGCCAUUGAGGGUAUUACAAAGGAGGUAUUGGAGGAUGCUGAUGGUAAUGAAAAGCAAGAAAAAGAAGUCCACAGCUGAGGUUGGCGGCGAAGCAAUGGAUGUUAAUAAACCUGAUGCUGGAGAAGAUGAACCUAACUUGUUCGAGCCAAGCCCAAAUAACCAAUAUAACCACCAUCUAAUCACUAUGUUCAAUACUUAUUACACAGGUAAACAAACUAAGAUAGAGAAAUUGAGAGAGUACACGGGCGCGCCCUGUUCGAGGUAGUCGAUCGAAGGAGGAAGAUGUUCGCAGUGAGAGUCGAAGGAGGAAGAUAGUCAUGCCGUCUCCUUCUUUUCUUGUGUUCUUUUGUGCUCGCAAGAUUAGGAGACGGGAGUGCUAUCUGGUGGUGCUCAGUUUCUGUAGUUUCUUGCUCAGUUUCUGUAGUUUCUGUGUCACGUAGCAUGUGAAACGGGCAACUAUGCAAAUUAAUUCUCGCAAUUGACGUCAGUCAUUAUAUUAUUUGAUAUUAUUUGGACUUGGCUCAAA